AGUUUAACACUAUAUAAAUAGUAUAUAUAUUAGAACCAUGGCCAAAUAAUUCAUAAUAUCCUCUCCAAAAGCAAAAGCACAAUUAAUCAAAGCAUAAAAUAUGGCAAAAGUUUCAGUCUACUACUCUCUUCUUCUUAUCAUCAUGUUUUUGUUAGUCCUUGACGGGACGAUUGCUCAAGACCAUCAAGUUAAAGAUUUGCAAUGUGCUUCUCCAAUCUUCAACAUAAAAUGCAAGGUGGAUGAAGAUUGUAUGCCUAGUUGCAAGGAUAAAUAUAAAGAUAGAUUAAUUAACGCAGGUUGUAUACUGAGUCCAGAUAAACCUGAUCGUAUUUGUCUUUGUGGCUACUAUUGUAGAAGGCUUUUGAGAAAUUAAGAAUCCAAAUGUUCAAAACACAUAUGAAACAACAUAAAUGUUACAAUAGUUUCUUU